rnacentral:rRNA from 1 species
GUCUCAGUUCGGAUCGCAGGCUGCAACCCGCCUGCGUGAAGCCGGAAUUGCUAGUAAUCGCGGAUCAGCAUGCCGCGGUGAAUACGUUCCCGGGCCUUGUACACACCGCCCGUCACACCAUGAGAGCCGGGGGGACCCGAAGUCCGUAGCCUAACCGAAAGGGGGGCGCGGCCGAAGGUAAAACUGGUGAUUGGGGUGAAGUCGUAACAAGGUAUC